CACUAUCUAUUAUGUGCACAAGAAGCAGUUACAGGCCAUAAAAAGAAAAAUUACAUUAUGUAUUAAAAAGUGCUUCUUUACUUCCAUUUUAUUUCAAGGAAGAAGAUUUACAAACAACUGAAUUAAGACCAGAACAUUAAGAAGACUUAAACCCUACAGACAAUUGCAAAUCUGGAACUGGCAGCUAAUCAGUGGCGUUCUGCAGAACAAAUGAAAUGACUUGCAACCCUAACGCUGACUCCUCUGAAAUACCAACCAGCAUCUCCUGCUGCUGUCGGUGAGAGGCCUGGCAGGCGAUUCAUUCACUCCCAGCCAGAUUGAAAUUUGCAUCUACAUUCAGAAUCUAUUCUCCUCUGCAAUGAAAAGGAAUCUGGACUACUCUGCAUCUUCUGAACUCACCUUGGAAGAGACAGAGAUAGGCAGGAAUCAUGGUGGGAACACCAGGUGUGCUUUCUACAUGGCACCAAGAUUUUCUACUUAACAAAUGGAUGGGAAAGAGGUGGAGAAGGGAGUGUGAUGGGGUGUGUUUGCCUCACACUGGUUCAGCAGGGGUUAAACCCACCCUGUGGGCCAAGGAGACCACUCCCCCUUGGCCCUGCUGAGCAUGCUCCAGCUGGAACCCAGGUAUAAAAGGGAGCAGCUCAGCUCAGUUGGGGCUGACUGCUGAGGAGGGAGGAUGCAGUUGCUGGUUCCAGCCCAAGAACUGUUGAAUCUCCAGAGCACGGAAGCCAAGCCUGCCAAGAUCCAGGCAGACACUGGGAUGAUGGAGGACUCCCCAGAGAGGAGGGCACUGCCAGGAACUGCCCUAGCCAAGGAAUCCAGAAACCUCAGAGAUGCCCGUACCGUUGCAUGAUGGGACCGGCUUUGUGCUUCAGGCUUAACAAGCAUCUCAACUUCCUUGUGAUCUUCCAAGAUCAGUCCCUUGUGCUAUGCUGCCUUCCCCAGCCAUGUUGAUCCAGGCAGUGCAUUUUAAAUGGAAGAGGCCUCAUUCUGCCACACGCCUUGCAUUGAGCCAGAGCUACAUCAAAGAUGCCAUCCCAGUAAAGACAUCUAGGAAAAACUGGCUGCUGGAAGCAGUUUUCCACCCUCUGAGUAAUAAAAUGCACCUUUCCUGAAAAAUCAGAUUCUCUAGGGAGGGAGAAGGGCCAGGUGCUUCUCUGAAGCUGGUGUGCAUACCUUAUAUCUGCAUGUGCAUUUGUGCCAAGCUCUAAGGGAGAGGCCAGAUAGCAGAGCAAAGGCUGGGACACAAAAAAACCCUUUUCAGCCAUUCCUCCUGAGGGGGGAAAGGAACAGAGAAUGAGAGGGGGCUCGGAGCAAAAGAGCCCUUCUUCCUGGG